rnacentral:tRNA from 2 species
GCGGGCGUGGUGGAAUUGGUAGACACGCGGGAUUUAGGUUCCCGUGACGCAAGUCUUGGGGGUUCGAGUCCCUCCGCCCGCACCA